UACGAAGGGUGCAAGCGUUACUCGGAAUUACUGGGCGUAAAGCGUGCGUAGGUGGUUCGUUAAGUCUGAUGUGAAAGCCCUGGGCUCAACCUGGGAAUGGCAUUGGAAACUGGCGACCUAGAGUGCGGUAGAGGGUAGUGGAAUUCCCGGUGUAGCAGUGAAAUGCGUAGAGAUCGGGAGGAACAUCUGUGGCGAAGGCGGAUCUCUGGGCCAUUACUGACGCUGAGGAGCGAAAGCGUGGGGAGCGAACAGG
rnacentral:rRNA from 1 species